AUGUACAUUCCUACAAUGUGAAUGCACCAGAUCCCUUAAGAACUCUGCAGUUAAGCAUGUUUGUGUUAGAGUGGUACUGGGAUGGGUGACCUCUUAAUAAGUCCUAGUGUUUUACAUG
rnacentral:rRNA from 1 species